AUGAACGCUGGCGGCGUGCCUAAUACAUGCAAGUCGAGCGAACGGACGAGAAGCUUGCUUCUCUGAUGUUAGCGGCGGACGGGUGAGUAACACGUGGAUAACCUACCUAUAAGACUGGGAUAACUUCGGGAAACCGGAGCUAAUACCGGAUAAUAUUUUGAACCGCAUGAUUCAAAAGUGAAAGACGGUCUUGCUGUCACUUAUAGAUGGAUCCGCGCUGCAUUAGCUAGUUGGUAAGGUAACGGCUUACCAAGGCAACGAUGCAUAGCCGACCUGAGAGGGUGAUCGGCCACACUGGAACUGAGACACGGUCCAGACUCCUACGGGAGGCAGCAGUAGGGAAUCUUCCGCAAUGGGCGAAAGCCUGACGGAACAACGCCGCGUGAGUGAUGAAGGUCUUCGGAUCGUAAAACUCUGUUAUUAGGGAAGAACAUAUGUGUAAGUAACUGUGCACAUCUUGACGGUACCUAAUCAGAAAGCCACGGCUAACUACGUG
rnacentral:rRNA from 1 species